rnacentral:rRNA from 1 species
CCUACGGGUGGCAGCAGUGGGGAAUAUUGCACAAUGGGGGAAACCCUGAUGCAGCGACGCCGCGUGAGUGAAGAAGUAUCUCGGUACGUAAAGCUCUAUCAGCAGGGAAGCAAAUGACGGUACCUGACUAAGAAGCCCCGGCUAACUACGUGCCAGCAGCCGCGGUAAUACGUAGGGGGCAAGCGUUAUCCGGAUUGACGGGGUGUAAAUGGAGCGUAGACGGCAGCACAAGGCUGGAGUGAAAUCCAGGGGCUUAACCCCGGAACUGCUUUUGAAACUGUGCGGCUGGAGUGCAGGAGGGGUACGCGGAAUUCCUAGUGUAGCGGUGAAAUGCGUAGAUAUUAGGAGGAACCCCGGUGGCGAAGGCAGCUUACUGGACUGUAACUGACGUUGAGGCUCGAAAGCGUGGGGAGCAAACAGGAUUAGAUACCCGAGUAGUC